UCGUUUAUUUAUUCGUUUAUUUAUUCGAUUAUUUAUCUAUUUAUCUAUUUUUAGUUUCUUGUUCCAUAUUUUUUUCACACAAUAUCCUACUUUUUUAAUAUAUUAACGUUUUUAUAUUAUUUUAAAAUUACGAAAAAAAAAAAAAAAAAAAGAAAAAAAAAAAAUAUAUAUUCUUUUAAACUUCGUCAUCAAAUUCAGUAACAUUCUCCAAUUUAUAAGCUUCGUUUUGUUGUCUAUAAACUUCGUUUCCAAAACCAGCCUAUGAAAAAAAAAAAAAAAAAAAAAAAACGAACCAAUGGGUAAGUUAAUAGAUAAACAAAUUAAUAAAUUAACAAAAAAAUAUUAGAAAAAAAAAGAACACCACAUAAGUAGUAUAAAAGAAUAAAAUAUAUUUUCAGCUUGGUUAAACAUACGUGUAAAUAUACUUAUACAUAAACGUAUGUACAUAUAUAUAUAUAUAUAUAUAUAUAUAAAUAUGUUCUUACUAUUCCUCCUAAAAUAGCUCCCAAAGGGAAACAGGAAUUUUCCGCUUUCAUUAAUGCCAAGCGAACGUGAUGAGAUGAUUCAUCUUCAACAUUUAUCAGGCCAAAUAUAAAGCCAAAGAUUCCUCCCAUUGUUAUAGUAAAUAAUAAUAUUAAUAAUUGAUCCUUGGAUAAAACCAAAUAAAUAAUUUAUAAAAUCUAUUAAACUAAAUGUCACGGCAAAAGCAAUGCUAAUUCCCAAAAGACAAUAGAUAGGUACUUUCGCGAUAGUGGAAAGAGAAAAAAGCCACGUACGCUCAAAAAAUAGACAUAAGAACCCUGAUAAUAUUAUCUGCAAAAAAACAAAAAAAAAAAAAUGAAUAUAUAUAUAUACAUACAUAUACUUAUACAAUAUGGCAUUCUAUUUUUUUUUUUUUUUUUUUUUUUUUUUUUUUUGCUUCUACAAACAAAAUAAAUAUACAUGUAUCACCAUGUAUUUAUUACCAUUGCUGCUAAGACCAUUAAUUGGGUUCUCCUAUUUUCAGACUCAUCACCUAUAUUAGCACUUAAUCUCCAAAAUAUUAUAAUUCCAACUACAAUAAACAAUAUACCAAAAAAAAAAAAAAAAAAAGUUUCUUACCAUAGAAAAAAAUGUUGAUAACGAAACUUCUACUAACGUACAAUUAACUAUUAAAGAACAUAUUAUUCCUAAUAUCAUCCCAAUUAUAGAACUUAGACCUCCUUUAAAAAUCAAAUCCUUCGUACAGUUUAUCCGAAGCCCAGAUAAUUUGUCAAACUCUUUAAUCUCCAUAUCCAUUUUUUUUUUUUUUUUUUUUAAUAUUUCAUGAAUAAAAUAUAUAAAAUGAAUAUAAAUAUAUUUAUU
rnacentral:lncRNA from 1 species